UUUUUUUUCAAGUCUCUAAUUUUUGCCUGGAUUACCCUUGCGGGUCCUCCACCGAGACGCUCAUUUUUGCCUAAGCCGCCCUUUCGGGUUUUCAACUUAGCGAGCAAUUCUGUUUUUUAUUCAUUCUUUUUUUUUUGCAUAUACUUUUUUUUCUAGGCAAAGUAUCUCUUAACUGCAUCUGAAUUCACAGGACGAGUGAAAUCCUCCCCAUCCAUUGUUGUAAGCAUUAAAGCUCCGCCUGAAAAGGCUCUCUUAACAACAUAUGGACCCUCGUAGUUUGGAGUCCACUUGCCCCUGGAAUCGGGCGCGAAAGACAAAACUUU
rnacentral:lncRNA from 1 species